GGCUGGCAAGCUACGCCACUUAAGGAGGCCCCAUUAAAUCCUUCCUCGCAGAGCCCCUUGAGCUCAGGCCGGCAUUUUGUUCUCCAGGCCCCCUCAACCCCCUCGGAAAACAGGUUCCCAGCCCUUCCACAUCAGACAUCCCAGUAGAGAUGUCGUCCGGAGACUCACUUCCCCAAGGGGAGCCCCUGCUGACCCCACUGGCUGGCGGUGUGGCUGGAGACUCGAACCCCUCCCGGCGACAGCGAGACCCAGAGCGCGCACAGGCAAACCGAGCAGACCAGCGAAACCGGGCUCAAGCAGCACAUUACAGGCCACGGAAUCACCAAAAAAAAAAAAAAAAAAAAAAAAAAAAAAAAAAAAUGGUCCCAGCAAAUGACCCGCAUCCCUCCGGCGGCCUCGCCACGCAAACUUCGCCCCCCAAAACUCUGAUCUCCAAAUUCCCAUGCAGUAGCCGCCAGGACCUGUUGAAACUCAAAGGGUGGGAAGGAGAGAGCCAAAUUCCUUUAAACUGGGGGGAAAGUAAGGCGGAAAAAAGAACCAUCUUGCCUCUCUUCCUCUCCUUCCUACUUUCCAAGACCUGAACUUUUGAGGGUUCUUUCUUUAGGCAAAAGAGGAAAAAGAAAACUUUGAAAAGCGAACCCUCCGCCCCACUCUACCUUGCAUAAAACUUCACUCAAGUCGAAGAUGGUGGCAGACACGAGGGUGGUGGUCAUCCUGGGCGCUCGCACGGGGCAGGGACGAGGAUCUGGUGUGCCGCGAAGGUCCCGGUGCGGGGAAGGCGCAGCCUCCGGCUCUCCGGUCUGGAGUCCCACACGCCUGCUCCCGGCGCCCCUCGCCUUUCUGACUCUCCCCGACUGCGGCGCGCGAAGCCCAAUUUAUAAAGUUCAGAUUUGGUGGACCGGGGGAGGAGGAGCUUUAAACUUAUUUAAAUGAGGAAGAGGAGGAAAAAAAAGGUGAUUGACACUGAAGUUGAAUCAGCCAUGCGGUCAAACUCGGGAAGAAAAAAAAAAAAAAAGAAACUUUCAAAAGGAAGAAGGGGGAGGGGAAACGAGGAAAGAAGGCUAAGAAAAAAAAAAACCAACUGCAAGCAGCGCACAACUUUUUUUUCUUAAAGAGGAAAAGUUUCGAGUCUCUCGCUUGGCUACCCGGCGCUUGGGGCGCCCCUCUGUGGGGCCGCGCGGCGCGAGGGGGAGGGGCGCCCCCCCCUUUGUCAGCCUGCGAGCGCGGCUCUGUGACAUCAUUCAUUCCACCCUCUUCGGGGUUCUUGUUGUUGUGUUGUUGUUUUUUUGUCGGGCAGGAAGGCGGGCUCGACUUUCUCUUUUUGCAGGCGGGAGCAGAACCCGUCCUUAGCGCCCGGGCUGCGGUUUCCAUCUUGAGCAGAUCUCCCCUGAAACUUCUCCAAGUGCCCCCCACAACUUAACUCUUUUCCCGAGUUUUCUUCCGCACUCGGCUGCCUUCCGCAAACCAAGCAGGACCAGAACAUCGGGAAUUUGGGACGCAGAAAGCAUUCGGGUCUAAGGUUUUUAGUUUAGUUUAGUUUAGUUUUUUUUUUUUUUUUUUUUUCAGCAGGUCGUGGGGGAGGUAGAGUGGUGGGGGAAACUAGGGAGAGUUUUUCCCUGGGGGGGGGGGGGGUACCGGGCCCGGCCGGGAGAGCGCAGCACGGUUUCGCGCGCCACACGCGUCUACACUCUCCUGUGCGUCGCAACCGAACGGCGGGAGGGGCAGUAGCGAAAAAGACCACCGCCCGGAAGGAUUGCUUGCUUGUUUAACAGACUUGGGAGUGGGAUUUAUUUCACGCAUUCAACCCUUAAACUUCUUCAAAAAGAAAACAUGAAUCCUCAUGAAUGUCCUUUCCAAUCCGCCCUCCUCGCCCCCCCCCCCGAAACACCAAUAACGCACAACUUUCCACGAGCGCUCUGAACUAUGGGACACACGCACACACCCCUAGACGCUUGAACAAUGAAAAAAGUUACUUUGGCAAGAAUGAAGGUAAAGAAAUGGAGGAGGCGACACUUUUAACUUCUUGUUGCUUCUCCCCCGCCCCCACGGGAACGGAACAUAUGGCUUGUCACGCUGCGCUGUUUGGGCGGGAUGGGGGGAAGGGGGCAAGGGAUCUUCCAACCCCCCCCCCCAUAGAUUAUUACUCCUUUUAAGACUGUAAUAUAUUUACUGUUAGCUUCAGAGGCCUCUCCUUCCACCCAAAUUAAAAGUUGUUAACGUGUCGCCCACGGCCCCCGGGUGCUGGAGCGAAGACCCAGGCGGAAA